UCGAGGAUCUUCGGCAAUGGGCGCAAGCCUGACCGAGCGACGCCGCGUGUGCGAUGAAGGCCUUCGGGUUGUAAAGCACUGUCGAGGGGGAGGAAAGCCGCAAGGUCUGACCUAUCCCUGGAGGAAGCACGGGCUAAGUUCGUGCCAGCAGCCGCGGUAAGACGAACCGUGCGAACGUUGUUCGGAUUCACUGGGCUUAAAGGGCGCGUAGGCGGCUUGCCAAGUCAGGGGUGAAAUCUUUCGGCUCAACCGGAAAAGUGCUUCUGAUACUGGCAGGCUGGAGGGAGGUAGGGGCAGAUGGAACUUCCGGUGGAGCGGUGAAAUGCGUAGAUAUCGGAAGGAACGCCGGUGGCGAAAGCGAUCUGCUGGACCUCUUCUGACGCUGAGGCGCGAAAGCCAGGGGAGCAAACGGGAUUAGAUACCCCUGUAGUCC
rnacentral:rRNA from 1 species